CACCUGUUCCCAUUCCGAACACAGAAGUUAAGCUCUCUAGCGCUGAUGGUACUUGGUGGGAAACUGCCUGGGAGAGUAGGACGUAGCCACAU
rnacentral:rRNA from 1 species